rnacentral:rRNA from 1 species
AGAGUUUGAUCCUGGCUCAGGACGAACGCUGGCGGCGCGCCUAACACAUGCAAGUCGAACGAGCGAGAGAGAGCUUGCUUUCUCGAGCGAGUGGCGAACGGGUGAGUAACGCGUGAGGAACCUGCCUCAAAGAGGGGGACAACAGUUGGAAACGACUGCUAAUACCGCAUAAGCCCACGGGUCGGCAUCGACCAGAGGGAAAAGGAGCAAUCCGCUUUGAGAUGGCCUCGCGUCCGAUUAGCUAGUUGGUGAGGUAAUGGCCCACCAAGGCGACGAUCGGUAGCCGGACUGAGAGGUUGAACGGCCACAUUGGGACUGAGGCACGGCCCAGACUCCUACGGGAGGCAGCAGUGGGGAAUAUUGCACAAUGGGGGAAACCCUGAUGCAGCGACGCCGCGUGGAGGAAGAAGGUCUUCGGAUUGUAAACUCCUGUUGUUGGGGAAGAUAAUGACGGUACCCAACAAGGAAGUGACGGCUAACUACGUGCCAGCAGCCGCGGUAAAACGUAGGUCACAAGCGUUGUCCGGAAUUACUGGGUGUAAAGGGAGCGCAGGCGGGAAGACAAGUUGGAAGUGAAAUCUAUGGGGCCAACCCAUAAACUGCUUUCAAAACUGUUUUUCUUGAGUAGUGCAGAGGUACGCGGAAUUCCCGGUGUAGCGGCGGAAUGCGUAGAUAUCGGGAGGAACACCAGUGGCGAAGGCGGCCUACUGGGCACCAAUUGACGCUGAGGCUGGAAAGUGUGGGUAGCAAACAGGAUUAGAUACCCUGGUAGUCCACACCGUAAACGAUGAUUACUAGGUGUUGGAGGAUUGACCCCUUCAGUGCCGCAGUUAACACAAUAAGUAAUCCACCUGGGGAGUACGACCGCAAGGUUGAAACUCAAAGGAAUUGACGGGGGCCCGCACAAGCAGUGGAGUAUGUGGUUUAAUUCGACGCAACGCGAAGAACCUUACCAAGUCUUGACAUCCCUUGACGAUGCUGGAAACAGUAUUUCUCUUCGGAGCAAGGAGACAGGUGGUGCAUGGUUGUCGUCAGCUCGUGUCGUGAGAUGUUGGGUUAAGUCCCGCAACGAGCGCAACCCUUAUGGUCAGUUACUACGCAAGAGGACUCUGGCCAGACUGCCGUUGACAAAACGGAGGAAGGUGGGGAUGACGUCAAAUCAUCAUGCCCUUUAUGACUUGGGCUACACACGUACUACAAUGGCGUUAAACAAAGAGAAGCAAGACCGCGAGGUGGAGCAAAACUCAGAAACAACGUCCCAGUUCGGACUGCAGGCUGCAACUCGCCUGCACGAAGUCGGAAUUGCUAGUAAUCGUGGAUCAGCAUGCCACGGUGAAAAGUUCCCGGGCCUGUACAC